rnacentral:rRNA from 1 species
CCUACGGGGGGCAGCAGUGAGGAAUAUUGGUCAAUGGACGAGAGUCUGAACCAGCCAAGUAGCGUGAAGGAUGACUGCCCUAUGGGUUGUAAACUUCUUUUAUAAAGGAAUAAAACGAGGCACGUGUGCCUUUUUGCAUGUACUUUAUGAAUAAGGAUCGGCUAACUCCGUGCCAGCAGCCGCGGUAAUACGGAGGAUCCGAGCGUUAUCCGGAUUUAUUGGGUUUAAAGGGAGCGUAGAUGGGUUGUUAAGUCAGUUGUGAAAGUUUGCGGCUCAACCGUAAAAUUGCAAGUGAUACUGGCAGUCUUGAGUACAGUUGAGGUAGGCGGAAUUCGUGGUGUAGCGGUGAAAGGCUUAGAUAUCACGAAGAACCCCGAUUGCGAAGGCAGCUUACUAAACUGUGACUGACAUUGAUGCUCGAAAGUGUGGGUAUCAAACAGGAUUAGAUACCCCAGUAGUC